GGCCUGUACCCGUGGGUGGAGCCAGAGGCAGGGCGGUGCUAGCAGCUCGGGUUCCUGGGGGGCGGGGCCGGUAGUGCCGGGGUUGGCGGUCUGCGGAGAUCAAUCAGCUGGAGGAGAAAAGAGGUCACUGGUCGGCGACCUGGGGAGGAAUCAGGGGAGGACUUCGAGUUGGGCCCGGUUGCCAGCUGUGGAGGAACCAGAUGAGAUGCGGAAGACUCGGCGUGUGCGAGUGUAAUAAGAGAAACGCUUGUGAAAAAUGAAGCUUUAGCAUUUUGAUCCUAGAGUCCACGAAAGCCAGGGAGAAGUGUGUGUAGUGAAUAAUUCCAAAUAUGUCUGCAUCAAGAAUGGUCUUAGGGACAUCACCCUAAAAGCUCACCAUAUUGCAACAUUUUUAAAAAUAGAGAAUUGUAUAUAUUGGCUCAGAAAGAUCUAUGGAUUCCUUGAUAUAGUGAGUAAAAAAAUAGUUUUAAAAGUCUACAUACUACCCAUUGUGUUAAUCAUAUAUUUUUAUUUGUUGGCAGUCUGGAAGGAGAGAGCCAAAUUGUUAAAACAAUGUUUACCUCUGGUAAAUGAAUGGUAUGGAGUAUUUUCACUUUAUGCUUUAUAGCCCUCUGAAUUGUCUACAUUUGCAGUGGACAUAUACAGCUUAUCAGGAUACUUCCCAUUAUACAAACUGAAAUUCUUGGUUUAUAGGCCAUCUACAGUAAGAUUUUCUCAAUCUCAUGAACUCUAAUAAAGUCCAUAAAUCCUAAA